rnacentral:rRNA from 1 species
UACGUAGGUGACAAGCGUUGUCCGGAAUUAUUGGGCGUAAAGCGCGCGCAGGUGGUUUCUUAAGUCUGAUGUGAAAGCCCACGGCUCAACCGUGGAGGGUCAUUGGAAACUGGGGAACUUGAGUGCAGGAGAGAAGAGUGGAAUUCCACGUGUAGCGGUGAAAUGCGUAGAGAUGUGGAGGAACACCAGUGGCGAAGGCGACUUACUGGACGAUUGUUGACGCUGAGGUGCGAAAGCGUGGGGAGCAAACAGG